GAUACAGUGUGGGUGGUGGGGGUGGUAGGAAAUGCAGGUUGAAGGGAAUUCUCUGGGGCUUUGGGGAAUUUAGUGCGUGGGUGAGCCAAGAAAAUACUAAUUAAUAAUAGUAAGUUGUUAGUGUUGGUUAAGUUGUUGCUUGGAAGUGAGAAGUUGCUUAGAAACUUUCCAAAGUGCUUAGAACUUUAAGUGCAAACAGACAAACUAACAAACAAAAAUUGUUUUGCUUUGCUACAAGGUGGGGAAGACUGAAGAAGUGUUAACUGAAAACAGGUGACACAGAGUCACCAGUUUUCCGAGAACCAAAGGGAGGGGUGUGUGAUGCCAUCUCACAGGCAGGGGAAAUGUCUUUACCAGCUUCCUCCUGGUGGCCAAGACAGCCUGUUUCAGAGGGUUGUUUUGUUUGGGGUGUGGGUGUUAUCAAGUGAAUUAGUCACUUGAAAGAUGGGCGUCAGACUUGCAUACGCAGCAGAUCAGCAUCCUUCGCUGCCCCUUAGCAACUUAGGUGGUUGAUUUGAAACUGUGAAGGUGUGAUUUUUUCAGGAGCUGGAAGUCUUAGAAAAGCCUUGUAAAUGCCUAUAUUGUGGGCUUUUAACGUAUUUAAGGGACCACUUAAGACGAGAUUAGAUGGGCUCUUCUGGAUUUGUUCCUCAUUUGUCACAGGUGUCUUGUGAUUGAAAAUCAUGAGCGAAGUGAAAUUGCAUUGAAUUUCAAGGGAAUUUAGUAUGUAAAUCGUGCCUUAGAAACACAUCUGUUGUCUUUUCUGUGUUUGGUCGAUAUUAAUAAUGGCAAAAUUUUUGCCUAUCUAGUAUCUUCAAAUUGUAGUCUUUGUAACAACCAAAUAACCUUUUGUGGUCACUGUAAAAUUAAUAUUUGGUAGACAGAAUCCAUGUACCUUUGCUAAGGUUAGAAUGAAUAAUUUAUUGUAUUUUUAAUUUGAAUGUUUGUGCUUUUUAAAUGAGCCAAGACUAGAGGGGAAACUAUCACCUAAAAUCAGUUUGGAAAACAAGACCUAAAAAGGGAAGGGGAUGGGGAUUGUGGGGAGAGAGUGGGCGAGGUGCCUUUACUACAUGUGUGAUCUGAAAACCCUGCUUGGUUCUGAGCUGCGUCUAUUGAAUUGGUAAAGUAAUACCAAUGGCUUUUUAUCAUUUCCUUCUUCCCUUUAAGUUUCACUUGAAAUUUUAAAAAUCAUGGUUAUUUUUAUCGUUGGGAUCUUUCUGUCUUCUGGGUUCCAUUUUUUAAAUGUUUAAAAAUAUGUUGACAUGGUAGUUCAGUUCUUAACCAAUGACUUGGGGAUGAUGCAAACAAUUACUGUCGUUGGGAUUUAGAGUGUAUUAGUCACGCAUGUAUGGGGAAGUAGUCUCGGG
rnacentral:lncRNA from 1 species